rnacentral:lncRNA from 1 species
GUGCCACCCUUGCAAGGCCUGGGAAAGGCUGCGGGGCCAGGCGGCACCGGGCAAGCUGAGUGCCAGGUGGUGGUUGCAACACACCGGGCAAAUCUGAAACCAUGGGACGGACGAGCUGCACCCCUGGGAAAGAGAACAGAGGAAGGCCGGUUAUCAACGUCCUCCUGUGCCUCAGUUUCCAGAAACAAGCCAGACUCAGUGCCUCAGGGAGACCCCGUGUGGCCUCCGGAGAGCACGGGACCCGCCCUUUGUGCAGCCAUGCCAGGCAGGAAAAUGGGCACCUCUAGUGACCCAGGCUGGCUGAGAGCCUGCAGGGAAGAGCCUUUGGAACGUGAGCCACUGUGGGCUGGCAGGACUGCAACUGGCGUCUCCAUCUACUGGUACCGAGGCGAGGAGGAAAAAGCAGGGGGGCCCGGAGACGGCCCCUCUAAGUCUGUAACUCCAGAGCUGCUGCUCAGUCCCCAGAACGUCACCUCCGAGCAGAGCCUGUGACAACUGUCAACUGUGAAGCUGUGGCGUGGGUUGCUACUGAAGCUCUGAAGUCAGCGAGGACACAGCAUGUUUGUUCUAGACCGUUUGGCUGCGGGAGGAAGCUGUACAUGCACACACUCGCCUCACCACCCUGCGAGUCCACAGGCCCCUCCCCGGAGUCACCUCCAGGUAAAGGGGGCCCUGCGUCGGGACUUGCUCUCUGGGGCGCUGAGAUGCUCUACAAUGAGCUGUGCUGCAGUGCACGGCCGCCCGACUGUGCACCCGCAACGGGGAACUGAACGCUGCAUGAAGUACAUCUCCAAGUUGUUCUUUAAGAAGGCUUAGGGUCCCUGGAAGACCCUCGCCCACACCCAGCGUGGAGCGUUGUUGCUCACGUGGCCACACCUCUCGGGAUGGCCGUGGGUCUCCGUGAUGGGCAGGCGAGUGGAACCACAGGUGCUUCCCGUCCUGGUCACAAAGUCAGAGUGGCUGGGCCAAGUGUCCUGAGAAGAGUCACCUCCUGGGAUCCCAUCAGCCUGGCCAUAGCAGAACACCCAGACAGGGGCCCAUCCCCGAGGCUCAACUCAACGCAUGCAGCCACUGUAGAAAAGUCUGGAAAGUAGUUCUUCAACCGACUAGACAUGGUGAGCCCAAAACCCAGCCAUGACACUCCUAGGCAUCUGCCCCAGAGGAAUGAAAGCAUCCAUCCCCUGCAAACUCAUCCUUACACAGCAGCGUGACUCAAGACGGCCAAAGGCGGAAACACCCCAAACGUCCAUCAGUGGACAAACGGGCAGAUGCAAUGCACUGUCUGUACCGUGGGAUGUCACUCAGCCAUAUGAAGGAAAGACUCCAGUGUGGAUGAGCCCUGGAACCACGGUGCUGCGUGAUCCCGUAACACAUGGCCAGAACAGACACGGCCCGGAACCUGAGGCCGGGAGGAUGCGUGCAGGUGGCGGGGAGACAGAGGGGCGAUGGCCCAGUUUCUUUUGGGCUGAAAAUGGUCUAAAGUUGACUGUGGUGAUGGCUGUACAACUUUGAAUAUGCUGAAAACUCGAAUUACACACUUCAGUUGGGCGAACUGUACUCCAUGUGAAUUACCUCUCGAUGGUUCUCUCCUGGGCUCAGGCGCUUCUCCCACCUUGGCCUCCUGAGUAGCUGGAACUACCAUUCAUGUGCGGAAAUAAAACAACUCGGUCUCAAAAAAAACUCAACUCAAAACUCAGUCUCAAAAAUAAAAAAAUAAAAAAGUAAAAGAGGCUACCAAUAGGAGAGGAAUUCAGUCAUUCAUGUCAUAAGCACAAUGCGGUUAUUUAAAACAAUUCUGAAUAUGGGGAAACGUGCACCCAGCAGGGCCUGGAAACAGCCAGAGCGUGACAGUGCCGGCGCAGCCAUGAAAAACCCCUCCCUGUGAACACACAUGUGAAAGAAGAUGCAAAGUCACUGUGGCUUCCAGUUUCACAACUGCAAUUCGGCAUCUCUAAUUUGCUUUUUUCCAGAAACUUCUGUUAGCAUGGUUGUUUCCUUAGCUUUUGACCAAAGAAACUUCAAAAACAAGAAAGCGUUAUAAUGCACCCCGUUCCCUUCCAAAGGCCUCCAACUGCAGGGGCUCGUCCCAACAGGCCCUGCUGGGGGUAAAGAGGCCAGGCCCAGGGGAACACUGACCAGGCCCAGGGGACACUGCCCAGACCUGACGCUCGCCACCGGCAGUUUACGUUAGACA